rnacentral:tRNA from 1 species
CUGUAGCUCAGAUGGAUAGAGCGUCUGCCUCCGGAGCAGAAGGCCAUGGGUUCGAAUCCCGUCAG